ACACUUUAGCCGAACCCUCCUCGUGGGCCCCACUUCACAUGGGUUACGCUUCACAUGAGCCACCCGCUUUACACGGGCCGCCUACCCUGAGUGUGCCCCUGCAUCCCACAGGCCACCCCACUCGAGCCAGGUGUGAAAAUGCCCCUGCGUUUCCCCCUCCCCCCAAUUCAUGUCUCCUCCAUGUUAUUUGUAGGUUUAUUAAUUCUAUUUCUUUUCUUCAUGUUCAGAUCUUAUUCCCGGUGAUUUCAUCCAUGUCCUUGGGGAUGCUCAUGUCUAUAGAAAUCAUGUCAGGCCUCUGCAGGAGCAGCUUCAGAAACUCCCUAAACCUUUCCCAAUUCUGAAGAUAAAUACUCAGAAGAAGGAUAUAGAUUCGUUUGUGGUGUCCGAUUUUAAGCUCAUUGGUUAUGAUCCUUACCAGAAAAUAGAAAUGAAGAUGGUAGUAUAGAGACAAGAAAGGGCAAAAAAUUCAGAGAUCUACUUCUCCUUUCACCUCCGAUCCCUAGAUUUUGAGGUGAAGUGCUUAGUUCAGCAUAUAUUUCUCAAGGGGUUAUCUUUCUUUUAUAAUAGGCCUUAUUACCUAUUUUUUUUUUUUUAAAAAAAAGGAAAACAAAAACAAGUGAAGGGAAAAAAGAAUUUUCCAAUAGCUUGACAGGCCAUUACAUAUUUACAUGUGCAAGUAUUUCACAUAAACAAAAAUAUUUCAAUUUUCACAUAAUCAAAGCCAGCCCUUUCUGUUUCUCUUUUAAAUUUCACAUAAACAAGUAAACGUUAAUUUUAGUCAUGCAUGCUGCUUAUGCUUUCUUGAAUAACUAAAUAAAUGACUGUUGAAAUCAUCAA